GAUGAAGAACGCAGCGAAAUGCGAUAAGUAAUGUGAAUUGCAGAAUUCAGUGAAUCAUCGAAUCCUUGAACGCAUCUUGCGCUCCUUGGUAUUCUGAGGAGCAUGCCUGUUUGAGUGUCAUUAAAUUCUCAACUACACUGACUUUGAAUUGGUGUGGCUUGGAUUUGGGGGGAAAAUUGUUGUGGGCUUUUUGUAUAGUCUGCUCCCCUGAAAUUGAUUAGCGGUACCUUUGUGGAACUGUCUACAGGUGUGAUAAUUAUCUACAUCUUAGACAUCUGCUGGAAUGCUGCUUUCUAAACCUUACUUGUAUUGACAAUCUUGACCUCAAAUCAGGUAGGACUACCCGCUGAACUUAAGCAUAUCAAUAAGCGGAGGA
rnacentral:misc_RNA from 1 species